rnacentral:rRNA from 1 species
AUGGGAUCGGAGGCGGACGCGGGGGAGAUGACCGGGCCCCUCCUUGCCGGCGUGCCGUCUGCGGCGGAGGCGGUGCCGCCGUGGCGGGAGCAGCUGACGGUGCGGGGUGUAGUGGUGAGCGCCAUCCUGGGGGUGCUCUUCUGCCUCAUCACGCACAAGCUCAACCUCACGGUGGGGAUCAUUCCUUCGCUCAACGUCGCGGCGGGCCUGCUCGCCUACUUCCUCGUGCGGACCUGGACCGCGGCGUUGGGCAUGUUCGGCGUCGUCUCCAAGCCCUUCACCAGGCAGGAGAACACCGUCAUCCAGACCUGCGUCGUCGCCUGCUACGGCCUCGCCACCAGCGGAGGAUUCGGAUCGUAUAUGCUUGCAAUGGAUCAAACAACUUACGAGCUUAUCGGGACUGAUUAUCCUGGUAACAGGGCAGUGGAUGUGAAGAAUCCCUCGCUGAGUUGGAUGAUCGGGUUUAUGUUUGUAGUUAGCUUCAUUGGUAUUUUUAGUCUCGUUGCCCUGCGCAAGGUGAUGGUGAUAAACUAUAAGCUAACCUAUCCCAGAGGAACUGCCACCGCUAUGUUCAUAAACUGUGUCCACACUGCUACCAGAGAUGAGUUAGUAGAAAAACAAGUUAGUUGUCUUGGAAAGUACUUAAGCAUAAGUUUCCUUUGGAACUGCUUUAAAUGGUUCUUCAGUGGUGUCGGGGAUUCUUGUGGCUUCGACAACUUCCCAUCUCUGGGCCUUGCAGCAUUUAAGAACACGUUUUAUUUUGACUUCAGUCCAACCUAUAUUGGAUGUGGUCUUAUAUGUCCACAUAUAGUUAAUUGCUCUGCACUUCUUGGAGCCAUCAUAUCCUGGGGUUUUCUUUGGCCAUAUAUAUCGACAAAAGCGGGGGAGUGGUAUCCAGCUAACCUUGGAAGCAACGACUUCAAAGGACUCUAUGGGUACAAGGUUUUCAUAUCGGUAUCCUUGAUACUUGGUGAUGGUGCUUUUAACCUCAUCAAAAUCAUGUAUGCUACUAUCAAGGAAAUAAUGAAUGCACGCUCAAAGCAAGGAAGACUUCCCCUUGUUUGGGUUCAUGAUGAUGAUAAGAAUUCCAAAUUAUCAGUCGAGGAAAAGCUUCUAAAUGAGGUGUUUCUAAAAGACAGCAUCCCUCCCUGGUUGGCAGGAUUUGGUUAUGUGGGCCUUACAGCAAUUUCAACUGCAAUAGUACCAAUGAUAUUCCCACAACUCAAGUGGUACCUUGUCCUCUUUGCCUAUGUUGUUGCUCCUUUACUUGCCUUCUGCAACUCAUACGGAACUGGACUAACAGAUUGGAACCUUGCAUCCACAUAUGGAAAGAUUGGCCUUUUCAUCUUUGCCUCAUGGGUUGGCCAACAUGGUGGUGUGAUCGCCGGCUUAGCAGCUUGUGGUGUUAUGAUGUCCAUCGUAUCCACAGCUGGUGAUCUCAUGCAUGACUUCAAGACUGGGUACCUGACCCUCUCAUCGCCAAGGUCCAUGUUUGUGUCACAGUUGAUUGGCACUGCCCUUGGUUGUGUCAUUGCACCUCUAACCUUUUGGCUUUACUGGACAUCCUUCGAUAUUGGCAAUCCUGAUGGUAUGUUCAAAGCUCCAUAUGCCAUCAUCUUCCGUGAGAUGUCAAUCAUGGGUGUCGAAGGAUUCUCAGUGUUGCCGCGACAUUGCCUAGCAAUAUGCUCUUUCUUCUUCUUUGGAGCCAUAGCAAUCAAGCUCAUCCGGGAUGUCACCCCAAACAGUCUGUCCAAAUUCAUCCCGCUCCCGAUGGCCAUGGCCGUUUCAUUUUACAUUGGGGCAUACUUCGCGAUUGACAUGUUUAUCGGGACUGUCAUCUUGUUUGUAUGGGAGAGGUUGAACCGUAAGGAGUCAGAGGAGUUUGCGGGUGCAGUUGCUUCUGGUUUGAUCUGCGGUGAUGGUAUCUGGAGUGUUCCGUCUGCAAUAUUGUCCAUCAUGAGGAUUGACCCACCAAUGUGCAUGUACUUCAAGCCAUCUUUUACCUAUGGCUGA